AGAGGUCAGGCUGAAGACCUUACCCGAUUGCUGAGAGGUGGUGCAUGGCCGUCGUCAGUUCGUACUGUGAAGCAUCCUGUUAAGUCAGGCAACGAGCGAGACCCACGUCCACAGUUGCCAGCAUACCCUCCGGGGUGAUGGGUACACUGUGGAGACCGCCGCUGCUAAAGCGGAGGAAGGAGUGGGCAACGGUAGGUCAGUAUGCCCCGAAUCUCCCGGGCUACACGCGGGCUACAAUGGUUGGUACAAUGGGCAUCUACCCCGAAAGGGGAAGGAAAUCUCUUAAAGCCAAUCGUAGUUCGGAUUGAGGGCUGCAACUCGCCCUCAUGAAGCUGGAAUCCGUAGUAAUCGCGUUUCAACAGAACGCGGUGAAUACGUCCCUGCUCCUU
rnacentral:rRNA from 1 species